rnacentral:tRNA from 1 species
UCGGAUAUGGUGUAACGGCUAACAUUGCCGCCUCUCACUGUGGGGGAUACGCGGCAGCUCGGGGUUCGAUUCCCCGUAUCCGAG